CCCCGUAGUCGACAAAAUUAUCUACUGAUUGAUGACUAUAUUGUUUAUUAAAACUGAAGUCUGCAUAAUUCAUGCAUUCCAGAAAUCAAUCUCUAUCCUAUUUAUAUGUUACUUCACAAUGAUCAUUGUUGUAAUUCUAAUAAUAUGGAGGACACUAAUAGUCCCACAUUGAUUAUGAGUCAAGAAAGACUCGCACUUA
rnacentral:lncRNA from 1 species